CCCGGUGGUUAUGGCGAGGACACCAAACCCGAUCCCAUCCCGAACUCGGCCGUUAAUAUCCUCUGCGCCAAUGGUACUCCGUCUUAAGACGUGGGAGAGUAGGUCGCUGCCGGGC
rnacentral:rRNA from 1 species